UCUCUUUCAAUCGUGGCCAUUUGUUUCCUUGCCUUUUGCCUUGAGUAUUUUUCGCUGGAUGUUAUCAUCGUGUUUGCCGUUUUCGUUUCCACCUCUUGAAGGCGUCAUACGUUUUCGUUCUUCAAUCUUCCACCUCUUCUAAAGUCUUCCGUUUCUGUUUCUCCCCUGACUCAGUCGCUUCAUUUUCUGCAGCCCCAUUCCAGCGAUAUAAGAUCCCCCUUCCACCUCCAUCAAACCCAAAUCGAGACAACCUCCUUCGACACCCAAACUCGCGCACCAUUCCUUCUUCCUCAGCCGAGCCAUCGCUGCCACUGCUUCCUCUUUCCCCAGCCAAACCACCUUCCCUAACCUUCGACUAAAUCCAUCAAUCUUCCAUGCUUUUAAUUUUCAUUUAAAUUUACUUACUCUUUUGAUAUGCCUUUCAUGUGUUAUUCGUAAUUGAUCUUGCAUUCUGACUUAGGCUGCCAUCUGUUCUCCUCCAAGGCCAAGGUAACAUCUUUUAUUAUUUAUCCAUUUGGGAGGCCAUAUGCUCUCCUGCAAUGCUAAGGUAACAACUUUAAAGCUUUCAGAGUUUUUUAUGUGCUGUGUAUCCCACCUUAGAGUCUUUUGUUACACCUUCUUUUUAUGCUAUCUGUUUUUUGAUUGAGAUUCCAAGCUUUGUUUUAUAAAGGGCUUAAUUGCAAAUUUGCUCCCUCGUCUUUCAUCAUUGUGCAAUUUUCCUCCCCCAAGUUUAAAACGAGCGAAUUCACUCCCUCAUGUAUCAAUUUGUGAAAAUUGACCCCUUCCGUUAGUAAACCGUUAAAGUUUGACGGAGUUGACGUGGCUUGCUAUUUACACCCCAUAUUUCCUAUUUACACCUACACUCUCUAUUUUUUACAGAUGACCGAGGUUGUAUCAUGCCACAAAGGUAAUUUUUUAUUAAAACAUUAUUUUGUGAAUUAAAAAAAUUCCAACCUCUUCUUCAUCAUUUUUAUCUUCCUGGCUCUAUUUGAAUCUUCAUCUACCACCUAAUACUCAUCUUCAUCUUGUGAAAAAAACCCAGGAACCAUAAACUGAAAAAUCCUACCCAAACACAACCCAGAAAAAUCUCUCUCUUCCCCAAACCCAGAAGCCCUGCAAAAAUCACCCCCAAACCCAUUACCACUUGAAUCAGCUUCAAACUCCAUUUGAUCUGUAAGGAGAGUAAGAAGACAAUGCCACUUGAAUCAGCUUCAAACCCACCCAACCCACACUCCACAACCUCCACUGCUCUCACCACCAAUUCGUCACCCGCCCCCACCUCCACUUCAUCGUUAGCCUCCACUUCUCCAACCUCAAUCUCUCCAGUACCAUCGACCUCGACGCCUCGCCGAGAUUCACCGACAUCCCCCUGCUUCACCACUUCCUCCUCCUCCUGCCGGUGAUGCUGAUGCGGGUGGUGGUGGUGAUCCUCGUCUUCCAAAUCGGGGAUCCCCUCUUCUUCUGUCACGCUCUUGGAGUCGCGACUGGGGGUGGGCGUGUAGUGAGGGUGCGGGCCUGCUAAUCUUCAUGAAAUUCAUGUGAAAGUUAGAGGGACUUGUGAGGUGAUGGAGAUGAUGGUGAAGAGGAAGAGGGAGAAGAAGGUUUAGCAUUAGAAUAGGCGAAAUGGCCAAUGGGUAUGAUUGUUGUUGUUCUUGAUGAAGCUGUUGAUUUGUUAAAUUAAAUAUUCAAUUUUUCUGUUUGUGGAAUUGUUGUUGCUUUGAAGCAUGGAGAAAAUUGUUGUUGGGUGGUUUGGAUUUGAUUCAUCAAUGGUGGGUUUUGUGGUGGGUUUGGACACCAAGCUCUAAUUGGAUUCCACUCUAUUUGAACUAAAGAGGUUCAUAACCGGAUGAAGAGUGUGAAGAAUAUCCAAAAAAACGCCAAGGAGUGAAGAUGGUUUCUGCUUCCAAGCUACAAGUAUGUUAUUUUUUUAUGAUCUAUAAACAAACUUAAAUUGCAGUCUCACCCCUUUCAGACUGUAGUGUUUUUUUUUAUCAAAUGUAAUCUACAUGGGAAUGAUUAAGCAGUGAUUUUGUGCAAGAGUAACACACAGUGAUGAAAUGAAUGGAGGAUUGGAAAAAAAAAGACGGAUAAGGAGAAAGAUUGGAUUGCUUCACAAAGCAAUUUAGUUUAUAAGAAAUGUGAUGAUAAACCUGAUGAAACAAUGGCUUGGAAGGACAACAGAUGAAGUGUGUUGUGUUCACAUCUCUUUAUCGGAGCCCUAAAAUUAUGAAACUGAAACCAUGUUUACUUUCAAGAGGUGCUGAAGCUUGAAACGUUUCUCAUGUUUGUCCUAUUGAAAGAGAUCAUAAUAUUAAAGUCCAAGGUAUUUUUGAAGGGAGUUGUGCUGCUAUUGUAGUUUCAGGAACAUCUUUGCUUGCCGAUCCAAUUUUAUGUGCUUACAGACUGUUGUCAGAUAAAUGUCGCAGCAAUUGAUGAAACCAUUGUUGCUUCUUUGGACCCAAAGCCUAUUUUUCUGCAUUAUCACUAGCAUUAUGUAAAAUUUGUAAGAACCAUACCACCAUUAAGAUCACAUGAUUCUUUUCCAAACAUUUUCUUAGUAGAAUAAUUAUUAUUCAUGAGUCAUUCCUUCA